AGUGAACGCUGGCGGUAGGCCUAACACAUGCAAGUCGAACGGCAGCACAGUAAGAGCUUGCUCUUACGGGUGGCGAGUGGCGGACGGGUGAGGAAUACAUCGGAAUCUACUUUUUCGUGGGGGAUAACGUAGGGAAACUUACGCUAAUACCGCAUACGACCUACGGGUGAAAGCAGGGGAUCUUCGGACCUUGCGCGAUUGAAUGAGCCGAUGUCGGAUUAGCUAGUUGGCGGGGUAAAGGCCCACCAAGGCGACGAUCCGUAGCUGGUCUGAGAGGAUGAUCAGCCACACUGGAACUGGGACACGGUCCAGACUCCUACGGGAGGCAGCAGCGGGGAAUAUUGGACAAUGGGCGCAAGCCUGAUCCAGCCAUACCGCGUGGGUGAAGAAGGCCUUCGGGUUGUAAAGCCCUUUUGUUGGGAAAGAAAAGCAGCAGGUUAAUACCCCGCUGUUCUGACGGUACCCAAAGAAUAAGCACCGGCUAACUUCGUG
rnacentral:rRNA from 1 species